rnacentral:rRNA from 1 species
GAUGAACGCUAGCGGCAGGCUUAAUACAUGCAAGUCGAGGGGCAGCAUGAAUGUAGCAAUACAUUUGAUGGCGACCGGCAAACGGGUGCGGAACACGUACACAACCUUCCUAUAAGUGGGGAAUAGCCCAGAGAAAUUUGGAUUAAUACCCCGUAACAUAAUGAUGUGGCAUCACAUUAUUAUUAUAGCUUCGGCGCUUAUUGAUGGGUGUGCGGCUGAUUAGAUAGUUGGCGGGGUAACGGCCCACCAAGUCUACGAUCAGUAGCUGAUGUGAGAGCAUGAUCAGCCACACGGGCACUGAGACACGGGCCCGACUCCUACGGGAGGCAGCAGUAAGGAAUAUUGGUCAAUGGACGCAAGUCUGAACCAGCCAUGCCGCGUGAAGGAUUAAGGUCCUCUGGAUUGUAAACUUCUUUUAUCUGGGACGAAAAAAGGCUAUUCUUAGUCACUUGACGGUACCAGAUGAAUAAGCACCGGCCAACUCCGUGCCAACCGCCGCAGUAAUAC